GUUAUGCGCGAGAAGUAUCUUGCAGCAGCAACACCCAAGUGAAGCUGAAUCUAGCAGACUUUAAACACCAUCCAGCAUGGUGCCUUCAAUCUUGUCAAACAAAAAAAUGGAUUUUACAUGACAUUAGAAGUGCAACUUAAUUGAUGAAGCAGCACAAUUUCUUGCAUUGUAAGAUAUUUAUGGUCACUGGCUACCUUAAGAACAAGGAAUCCACAACAAAAGUAGUACAUCUAUUUCAAGCAUCUGCAGUUUGUAACUUCUCCUUGGAAUGUUUUAUCCCAUAAAAAAUGUUUCUGCAAUGUCACACAAGUGAAAGAAGGAAAGUUACUUGAGCAAGAUUGCCCCCAAAAUUAUAAAUUUUAGAAAAGUUCUUUUUAUAUGUAGCACGAGGUUAAAACUCAUCAACGCCAUGGUAAUGCAUUAUAAGCUUUAAGCAAAACAAAUUUGACACAUCUUGUGAUAAUCAAAGGACAUGAAUAAACACAUCUUACUUUUUUUUUUUUGAAUUUUCGCAACUUCUUUUAAAAUUAUACAUCAUCUUACAUGUUCUGAAUCACUUAUUAAAUGUUGUUAUUUCUGGAAUUGGUUAAGCGAAAUCCCAGCUAACCACUUUGUCAGUCACUUUAAUAAAGCAGGGGAUUUAAUUGAACAUAAGGAAAGAAGAAAAGUGCAGUAACACUUCCAAUAAGGGCACCAUAUCAAUUUCCAAAAGACAAAAGUAAAAAGACUAUAAUUCAGAGUACAGAAUAAUUGCAUUGGAACACCCUCAGUUAACCUUUUCUGAAAUGGCAUUAACCAAACAUGCAUCAAGAUAGUAUGAACUUAGACAAAAGCAAAUAAUCAUCUGCAACAGCAAAACAAUGCAUCUGAGCUUCUUCAUUUUCCCAACAUACAAAUUAGAAAACAAAAGCCUAGUGCUCAUCUUGUUUGUACGCAGCAUUUGAAUUGCAAAAAAUACUGCUGUCCAUUCUACAUUUGCCUGCCCCUAGUAUUAUGCCAGGCUGCAAUCAUGUUGUGGAUUAUUUUCAAUUUUAGCCAGAGGAAAAACAAACAAAAUACAUGUCCUUUUGUCAUACUAGUUGUGGGAUAUUAUGCCAGUUAUUUCUACUAUGACAGGCACUGCAAUGGGUGCAUUGGAUUCUUCCACCUAUAAUAAGAAGCUCUAAAAAGUAGACAGUAAGGUCUUUUGUCAGGAUCUUUUCUUUAGCUAUGGAUUACCAUUAUUUUGUAGUCUUUCUUCAUGGAGAAGUCAAGAAUUGAACUCAUGAUCUCCAGAACAUGGAGCAUGCAUUGAUUCCUUGGGCUAUCAACCUCUUUUCCACGAGGACAGACUUUGCCGCCACUAAUAACAGCAACAGGGGCUAAAAUUAGUCAUUGGCACUUUCUGAGAAGGGGCACAAAAGUUAUCCACCAC
rnacentral:lncRNA from 1 species